GCUCUGGUGGUGCAGUGGCUGAGCGUUCGACUGCUAACCAAAAGGUUGGUGGUUCAAACCCACCCAGCAGCU
rnacentral:tRNA from 1 species